rnacentral:lncRNA from 1 species
UAAUAAGAUAUUUUUGGAAAAAGUGAAACUUUUUUUGUUUGUUUGAAGGAAUACUAGAUUAAAAAGUUCUUAACAUAUCAGCGAUGUUUUUGAAAACUUCACUUCUUCACUAUUUAUUCGUCUUGACAUUAGUGAUCACAUUUUGUGUAUCUGAUUGUCUUGAUUUUCCUAAUUUAAAGUCUAAAGAUAAG